GAUGAGCAGUCCUCAGGCACAGCUGGUGUUGACCCUGUCAGUGGUAACUCUGCACAUCACCAAGAAGGGGUGCCUAACGGUGCAGGACAAAAGAAUUCCAAGGAUGCUACUGGGAAAAAGAGAGAAGAUACCAAACCCGGCCCUAAAAAACCAAAAGAGAAAGUAGAUGCUCUCUCACAGUUUGAUCUAAACAAUUAUGCAAGUGUUGUUAUCAUUGAUGAUCAUCCUGAAGUAACUGUAGUUGAAGACCCCCAGUCAAAUUUGAAUGAUGAUGGCUUUACUGAAGUUGUAUCUAAAAAACAGCAAAAGCGGCUACAGGAUGAGGAACGCCGAAAGAAGGAAGAGCAAGUUGUACAGGUAUGGAGCAAAAAAAAUAUAGGUGAAAAAGGAAGAAGUCAGACUUCUAAGCUUCCUCCAAGGUUUGCCAAAAAACAAGCUACUGGGACUCAGCAAGUUCAGGCCCCACCCUCUGCACCACUUCCAGUCUCUUCCUCAGCUCCAGCCUUAACAUCCCUGGCACCUGCAGUUCCUGCAUCCACCCCAGCUCCAGUUCCUGUGCUGGCAUCAGCCACAGCUCUAGUUCCAGUGUCAACCCCAGCUCCGGUUCUGACUUCAUGCCCAGCUCCAGUUCCAG
rnacentral:lncRNA from 1 species